rnacentral:misc_RNA from 1 species
CAUAGAGUUCGAUCGACUACUGUAAAGCAGUGUAAAAGACGAAUGGGAAAGAAGGAAGAGAUAAUGGCGGUCCCUUAUGACGUUUGUAGAUUACAGAACGAGUCGGGCGACCAGCGAGGAUUUUCUAAAAAAUUUGUAGGGAUUGGAAACGUAGAACGAUUACCCGCAUGUCGACCCACGUACAUACACCUACAUCUAUCGGAAACGGACAGAUUGAACUAAAUUAGUGUUUUUUCGCGACGCAUUCGCCUUCUACACAACGCCACGGAAAUAAGCUUCCUAGGUCUUCCUAAGAUCUCUUCGAAGACUAUUCUCAUCUUUUGUCGUAGAGAGAGUAGUAGAUAAACUAGUGCAACGACAGAUAUGAAAUUCUUAUGAAAUAUUAAAAGAAUUUGAUACGAUUUCAUUAUAUGCAAAAGACCUGUUAGUUCAUACGACUUGAAGGAUCAUUUUUUAAGGAGAAAAUAAUCGAAACGUUUGAAAUUGUGCUUCUAAAUCGAGUCUCCUUGCCCCUUUGCUUUUAUCGUGUCUUGUUAUUGUGUUAUAAGUUAUCUAAAGAAUCGCAAAGGUGGUGGAAAUAUUACGUUAUUUCGCAAUUAUCAAACGAUUACAAAAUUAUGAUUUAUUCUCUGUUAAAAUACGUUAUCAACAAUAUACGUUAAAAAAUUUGCAUAAACGACAUUUGCCAUUUUCUAUACGGUAAUGCAUUUUUCGCGAAAGAGGAAAUAUCCAUUAUGUAGCGCCUUCGGAAUCGCGUUGCGCGUCGGUUCGCGCCGACGACGGAAACGGUUAUCCAAUAUCAAAUUAAUGUACGUCAGGGCAAGUUCUUCCAUGGCAUAUGCUCCGUGCUUGGUGCGCCAAUAACUCCAUUUUCGCUGACAUAACUCGUAAUCGUAUAAUCUGCCGGGCAGUCUGCCUGAAACCAGCGAUUCCGUUCUUUACCGAUUACAAAGAAUGAAAAAUAUCCGUUUUAUACCGAUGCUGAUCGUUUAGCUGCUAGCGAUCCAAAUCGAAUUUCUGCUAACGUUGAAGAACUCAAGUUGGUUAAUUCGUUGAAUUGCACGUUUCUCGCGAGAUCUUUAU